UCAAGAUCUAUGUCACUAAGAUCGAUUUCUUCUUCUUGUGGAAGUUCGGCGUCUUUGCCAUCCCACGAUUUAGUUUCAAGAAUUGUUGGUAAUUGAGCUCCUUUUAAAGGAGCUGUACCUCCUCGUCCAUAACUUAAAUCUCCUGCUAAUGCUGGAUAGCCAAAACCUCCAAUUUCUAAUGCUUCCUCAAUAUGAGGUUGAGCACCAGCUUCAGUCCAAACCCAACUACAAAAAAAUAUAUAUAUUGUUUUUAAAAUUCUAUUUUCAUUAAGCAAUAAAUAAGAUUGAUAGCAUACCCC